GAUUAAGCCAUGCAUGUCUAAGUGCAAACCGUCCUCGUACGGUGAAACCGCGAAAGGCUCAUUAAAUCAGUUAUGGUUCCUUAGAUCGUACGCACGUUACUUGGAUAACUGUGGUAAUUCUAGAGCUAAUACAUGCCGACAGAGUUCCGACCAAUGGGGCUUGCUUCGCGGCACGUCUUGUUCGGAAGGAACGCUUUUAUUAGAUCAAAACCGGCCAGGCGGCAGCAAUUCCUGCUGUCGCGAACGGCUCGCGCAAAGAAUUGACGAAUCUGAAUAACUUUGGCUGAUCGCACGGUCCUAGCACCGGCGACGUAUCUUUCAAAUGUCUGCCUUAUCAACUGUCGACGGUAGUUUCGACGCCUACCGUGGUGGUAACGGGUAACGGGGAAUCAGGGUUCGAUUCCGGAGAGGGAGCCUGAGAAACGGCUACCACAUCCAAGGAAGGCAGCAGGCGCGUAAAUUACCCACUCCCGGCACGGGGAGGUAGUGACGAAAAAUAACGAUACGGGACUCAUUUGAGGCCCCGUAAUCGGAAUGAACACAGCGUAAAAACU
rnacentral:rRNA from 1 species